CCUACGGGCGACAGCAGUGAGGAAUAUUGGUCAAUGGGCUUACGCCUGAACCAGCCAAGUCGCGUGAGGGAAGACUGCCCUAUGGGUUGUAAACCUCUUUUGUCAGGGAGCAACGCCGGCUACGUGUAGCCGGACUGAGAGUACCUGAAGAAAAAGCAUCGGCUAACUCCGUGCCAGCAGCCGCGGUAAUACGGAGGAUGCGAGCGUUAUCCGGAUUUAUUGGGUUUAAAGGGUGCGUAGGCGGAAUGCCAAGUCAGCGGUAAAAUCGCGGGGCUCAACCUCGCUCCGCCGUUGAAACUGGCGGUCUUGAGGGGGCGAGAAGUAUGCGGAAUGCGUGGUGUAGCGGUGAAAUGCAUAGAUAUCACGCAGAACUCCGAUUGCGAAGGCAGCAUACCGGCGCCCAACUGACGCUGAAGCACGAAAGCGUGGGUAUCGAACAGGAUUAGAUACCCGAGUAGUC
rnacentral:rRNA from 1 species